rnacentral:lncRNA from 1 species
UUGGGCCCCUCGCUACAAGAAGGACAUGGAGGUGCUUGAGCGGGUCCAAAGAAGGGAGACGAAGCUGGUGAGGGGCCUGGAGAACAAGUCCUACGAGGAGCGGCUGAGGGAGCUGGGCUUGUUCAGCCUGGAGAAAAGGGGGCUCAGGGGCAACCUUAUUGCUCUCUACAGUCAAAAAGAAAGAAAGAAGUGGGGUGAAUCCAUGCUCACCUUGCAAUAUUUCACUGGAUGCCUCAGAAGAGCUGAUGAAGAUAGUGAGCAAUGGGUAAGCAAGGGAGGGGACUGCAGUGCUGGACCGUCUUCCUGUAAAAACAGCAAAAACAGGAGCGGUGGGUGGACGGAGCACGGAAGUGUCAUGUGCGAAGAAUGUGUGGAAUGAGGGGAUGACUGAAGAGCUGAUGUCAGGACAGCGUAUGAUCCCUGGUACCCUGGGGGAGGAGAGCUGCAUGGAAGGCUACGAAGAGCCAUGUGCCUCUUGAAAUCUGCCAGUUAAGUAUUGCAAUCGUUGGGCCCUAUCUGGUAAGGGCUUCUUGCCCUCCUUUCCCACCAACAUUCCUGGGAGCUGAGGGUGUCACUGUUGGGCACUUACGCCCUAAGUGAUAGGGGCAUAAAACGAUUUGUGGCACUUACGCACAUAUGUGAUACAGACGGGAUGAAAAUGCAUCACUUCUAAACCCUCAAGCUUCUGUAGAUUUGGUAAUCUCCACAGAGGUGUUGUGCUAAGAUUGUGCUGUACAUUUUGUUUCCUCAUUUUGUUUCCAUAAGCAAAGCACUUGGCUGAUAGCACAGGAAACCAACUGCUAUGGGCAUUCACUUCAAUGGGUGAACUUUAAACGAGUCACCAGGGACUGGCUGCUGCUGAGUUCAAAGAGAAAGAGACAUCCAAAACCUCUAGUGAAGCCAAGUUAUGGUGGGAAAUGCCAGAUACAAACAGGAGAAAACUGGAAAGCACAGUAGGGUGAAAGACAGAUAGAGUUAUGUUUUCCUGUCCCUAGUUGGUCAGAUUUAGGCGAGGUGGGAAUGCAGAUUUUAAAAGAAAUAACAUAAAAUUUUACUAAGGGAAGUUUGUUGAACAUCAGGAAAUGUGCUCUGGUGUUGAUGUUCUAUGAGCUGAGCACAAUAAUCUGGGAAUGGAAACAUGCUGAGAAAGUUAAUAUGGUACUUGACAAAAUACUGGAAAAUAUAUUAAAAAGAACAGUUUUGUGCAGGGCAGAAGGUAGAGCAAAUGACCCACUAAGCUUCUCCAUUUAUCCUCUUUAUUUUUUUUUUCUUUCCCCAUUGAUUUCAAAAAUCUCUCAUGCUCUCAUGCAACUGAAAGAGAAGGAGCCACCCCCCACAUCCAUCCAGUGAAGGAAAGAGAAUUUGUUCAUAGCAAUGGAAAA